AGGAAUAUUGGUCAAUGGCCGGGAGGCUGAACCAGCCAAGUAGCGUGAAGGAUGACGGCCCUACGGGUUGUAAACUUCUUUUAUGCGGGAUUAACGUGAGGCACGUGUGCCUUUUUGUAUGUACCGUAUGAAUAAGGAUCGGCUAACUCCGUGCCAGCAGCCGCGGUAAUACGGAGGAUCCGAGCGUUAUCCGGAUUUAUUGGGUUUAAAGGGAGCGUAGGCGGACGCUUAAGUCAGUUGUGAAAGUUUGCGGCUCAACCGUAAAAUUGCAAUUGAUACUGGGUGUCUUGAGUACAGUAGAGGCAGGCGGAAUUCGUGGUGUAGCGGUGAAAUGCUUAGAUAUCACGAAGAACUCCGAUUGCGAAGGCAGCUUGCUGGACUGUAACUGACGCUGAUGCUCGAAAGUGUGGGUAUCAAACAGGAUUAGAUACCCUGGUAGUCCACACAGUAAACGAUGAAUACUCGCUGUUUGCGAUAUACAGUAAGCGGCCAAGCGAAAGCGUUAAGUAUUCCACCUGGGGAGUACGCCGGCAACGGUGAAACUCAAAGGAAUUGACGGGGGCCCGCACAAGCGGAGGAACAUGUGGUUUAAUUCGAUGAUACGCGAGGAACCUUACCCGGGCUUGAAUUGCAACUGAAUGAUGUGGAGACAUGUCAGCCGCAAGGCAGUUGUGAAGGUGCUGCAUGGUUGUCGUCAGCUCGUGCCGUGAGGUGUCGGCUUAAGUGCCAUAACGAGCGCAACCCUUAUCGAUAGUUACCAUCAGGUUAUGCUGGGGACUCUGUCGAGACUGCCGUCGUAAGAUGUGAGGAAGGUGGGGAUGACGUCAAAUCAGCACGGCCCUUACGUCCGGGGCUACACACGUGUUACAAUGGGGGGUACAGAAGGCAGCUACACGGCGACGUGAUGCUAAUCCCUAAAGCCUCUCUCAGUUCGGAUUGGAGUCUGCAACCCGACUCCAUGAAGCUGGAUUCGCUAGUAAUCGCGCAUCAGCCACGGCGCGGUGAAUACGUUCCCG
rnacentral:rRNA from 1 species